GAUCUCAGUUCGGACUGCAGGCUGCAACUCGCCUGCACGAAGUUGGAAUUGCUAGUAAUCGCGGAUCAGCAAGCCGCGGUGAAUACGUUCCCGGGCCUUGUACACACCGCCCGUCACACCAUGAGAGUCGGGAACACCCGAAGUCCGUAGUCUAACCGCAAGGGGGCGCGGCCGAAGGUGGGUCCGGUAAUUGGGGUGAAGUCGUAACAAGGUAAC
rnacentral:rRNA from 1 species